AACUUUCACGUUUGUCUAUGACACAAACGAUAACACAAAUGGUCCAUAACAUAAAUGAUAGCUUAGAGCAUCAUUAUCGUGGGCUCUAAUGCCUGGUCCCCUAAUAUUUUGGGCUAAAAAUAAAUGAAAAAGGCUGAAUAAACUAAGAGACAUCGAUGAAAGUCCUUGGUUUGGAUACAUUUUGGGCUGGUCCUUGGGACAGGUGGCAGGAUGAAAUUGGACAGAGCAACGAGAGGUAGCGUCGUUUUUGGCUUGCUCGGUUUCUUCUUUCUCUCGGUCGAAACCUCUCGUCCUCGACGGUGACGUCUGUCUUCGGCAUCCAAUCCCUCCCGCAGAUCUGUCUCGUCGAUCCUUCGGUGGAGAAUCUACAAGACGAGCGAGGUAUGAUAGAGGAAGAAGACGUCGACGGAACCGCGGAGUCUCUGGUGGAGUUCGAAUCUUGACAAGAACCAAAGCUUGAAUCGAAUCUUGUAGGAGAAGCCAUGGAAGUUGAAACCGAUGCUACGAAGGGACAAGAGUCGAUGCAAAUUAGAGACGAAGUGGACAGUAGCAGCCGCCACAGUCCUCAUGCUAAUUCUGUCGUUUCGAUUCUCUCUACGACGGAUGGAUCAAAUAGGUUUUGUGAGAUGGAUGGAUCAAAUAGGUUUUGAUUUGUUCUGUGGAAAGAGACACAAGGGAGGUUCAUCGAAUAAAGGACUCCAAUUACAGUACAUGUUAGUGUAACUAUUUCAUCUGGUCUGAACUGAAAAGAGUAGAAUUGAGUUAGCUUCUGUGAUGAAUUGGUUUGUAUUCUUGUGUAGUGUCUUUUCUUGUGUCACGGACUUGUCACAGUGGAAGAAACUUUGUAGUCUUGUGUACUCAUGUGUAUUCACGGUCUCGUCACAGACGAGGAAGCUUUGUAGUCUUGUAUGUUUGUGUAGUCUACUACUUGUGUUGUUUAGUUACUGGCAUUGUUGUUGGAUUUUUCAAAUGGGCUUUGAAGGAACAAUGGUUCCGAGGAGAGUACAAGUGGCUCUGCUCACAUUCUGUACAUGUACAAGCUCCUCUGCUUCCAUGGCUUUCCUUUUCCUUUUUUUCUCCUUUCUUUGUGAGGUAUUGAAGACUCCAUUUGGUUUGGUUGAAUGAUUUUGAGCUAUUAUUAAAGUCUGUAUCAAGAUUAUGCACUACUGAGAAUGAUUUGGUUUUGGUUGAAUGA